rnacentral:rRNA from 1 species
GAUGAACGCUGGCGGCGUGCCUAAUACAUGCAAGUCGAACGAGGUGCUUUUGUAGCAAUACGAGAGUAUCCUAGUGGCGAACGGGUGAGUAACGCGUUGGUGACCUACCCCAAAGUGUGGGAUAACAGUCCGAAAGGAUUGCUAAUACCGCAUGUGGUCAUUGGAUUUAGAAACUGAUGACUAAAGGAGCAAUUCGCUUUGGGAGGGACCUGCGUCCCAUCAGCUAGUUGGUGAGGUAAUGGCUCACCAAGGCGACGACGGGUAGGGGACCUGAGAGGGUGACCCCCCACAAUGGAACUGAAACACGGUCCAUACACCUACGGGUGGCAGCAGUAGGGAAUAUUGCUCAAUGGGCGAAAGCCUGAAGCAGCAACGCCGCGUGUGUGAUGAAGGCCUUCGGGUCGUAAAGCACUUUUCUGGGAGAUGAGAAAGGACAGUAUCCCAGGAAUAAGUCUCGGCUAACUACGUGCCAGCCGCCGCCGUAAGAC